AUUGAACGCUGGCGGCAUGCCUUACACAUGCAAGUCGAACGGUAACAGGUCUUCGGUUGCUGACGAGUGGCGGACGGGGGAGUAAUACAUCGGAACGGGCCCGAUCGUUGGGGAUAACGGAGCGAAAGCUUUGCUAAUACCGCAUAAGAUCUACGGAUGAAAGCAGGGGACCGCAAGGGCUUGCGCGAACGGAGCGGUCGAUGGUAGAUUAGGUAGUUGGUGAGAUAAAAGCUUACCAAGCCGACGAUCUGUAGCUGGUCUGAGAGGACGACCAGCCACACUGGGACUGAGACACGGCCCAGACUCCUACGGGAGGCAGCAGUAGGGAAUCUUGGACAAUGGGCGAAAGCCUGAUCCAGCCAUGCCGCGUGAAGGAUGAAGGCCUUCGGGUUGUAAACUGCUUUUGUACGGAAAGAAAAGACUCUGGUUAAUACCUGGGGUCCAUGACGGUACCGUAAGAAUAAGCACCGGCUAACUACGUG
rnacentral:rRNA from 1 species